UGUGCUACAUGGGGAGGUAGCGGUGCCCUGUACUUGCAAUCCGCUGUAGCAAGGUGGAAUUCCCUCUCAGAGGCUUAUAUUGUGAGGAUUGUCUUUUUUAAGUGGCGUUGAUAACUUGGUCUCGCGCAACGAAAUCCUGUGAACCCUGCCAGGUCCGGAAGGAAGCAGCAGUAAACAGACCAUUUUGUGUGACGCGAGGGUGCUGGGUUAGAGUUAACUAUUUAAGCAUACUUGUGAUAUAACGUCGAAAGAGGGUGCAC
rnacentral:SRP_RNA from 1 species